CAGUUUGUAUCACUGUGGUGGACGUUUGGUGGAGGAACCAGACUGGAUGUUGGACGUGAUGUCCAUCCCUCCCUGACGGUGCUGCCCCCCUCCAGAGAGGAGCUGCAGCAGGGGAAGGCCACGCUCAUGUGUCUGGCCAACAAGGGCUUCCCCUCAGACUGGAGUCUGUCCUGGAAGGUGGACGGCAGCAGCAGCAGCAGCAGCAUCAGCAGCAGCUGGGAGGAGAGCAGGAGCCCCGGGGUGCUGCAGGAGGACGGCCUCUACAGCUGGAGCAGCACCCUGAGGCUCCCUGCAGACCAGUGGAGGAAGGUGGGCUCUGUGAGCUGUGAGGCCACCCAGGGCUCCCAGACUCCACUCUCAGAGACACUGAGGAGAGACCAGUGUUCCCAGUCCUGACCUCACCCACUGGGAACAUCACACUGGUUUCACUCUGCUGUUCUCUGUAUUUCUCUUUCUGUCUUUGUCUCACUUUUCUAUUGCGACUUUAUGUUAUCAUUAUUAUUGUUCAACUUCAGUGAUGCUGAUGCUGUUUAUGCUUUAAAACAAUAUACUUUGUCUCUCAGAUUACAGACUUUACUGUGGAUUUUGUCAUGAAUCUUUAUCACAUGGAAACAUCACACUAGUUCUGUUCUGAUACUGUUCUCUGGUUGCUCUCUGUAACUUUCUCUCUUUCUAAAAUCAUCCUUAUUCUGAUGUUCAAAGCAUUUUAAAAUAAUAAAAAUGUAUUAAGAAAACAAUUUUUUUUUGGUUUUCUUUCGUUUGGUAUGAAAAUGUUACAGCAUCAACAUUAUUUUGAUUAAUCAACACAAACCAACAAACCAAAAAAAUUAACCUUCAGUUAUUAAAGUUGAUCUGUUUUGAACAAGUCUUGAAGCAAGUUGUUGUCUAAAUAAUGUGAAUUAUUCUUGUUUAAAAAGAAAAAGCAGGAUGUCAUCUGCAUAAAGUGAUUUGCUUUCUCUCUUUCCAAUCCCAUUCAUGCUGUUUGUUGCAAGUUAGAAAGUAUUUUAAAGCAAUAAAAAUGCAUUAA